AGGGAGAAAGUGGGGGGAUCUUCGGACCUCACGCUUUCAGAUGGAGCCAAGGUCGGAUUAACUAAUUGGGGGGGGUAAGAGCCUACCAAGGAGACGAUCCGUAACUGGUCUGAGAGGAUGAUCAGUCACACUGGAAUUGAGACACGUUCCAGACUCCUACGGGAGGCAGCAGUGGGGAAUAUUGGACAAUGGGGGAAAGCCUGAUCCAGCCAUACCGCGUGUGUGAAGAAGGUCUUCGGAUUGUAAAGCACUUUAAGUUGGGAGGAAGGGCAGUAAGUUAAUACCUUGCUGUUUUGACGUUACCAACAGAAUAAGCACCGGCUAACUUCGUGCCAGCAGCCGCGGUAAUACGAAGGGUGCAAGCGUUAAUCGGAAUUACUGGGCGUAAAGCGCGCGUAGGUGGUUCAGCAAGUUGGACGUGAAAUCCCCGGGCUCAACCUGGGAACUGCAUCCAAAACUACUGAGCUAGAGUACGGUAGAGGGUGGUGGAAUUUCCUGUGUAGCGGUGAAAUGCGUAGAUAUAGGAAGGAACACCAGUGGCGAAGGCGACCACCUGGACUGAUACUGACACUGAGGUGCGAAAGCGUGGGGAGCAAACAGGAUUAGAUACCCUGGUAGUCCACGCCGUA
rnacentral:rRNA from 1 species